GAUGAACGCUAGCGGGAGGCCUAACACAUGCAAGCCGAGCGGUAGAGAUUCUUCGGGAUCUUGAGAGCGGCGUACGGGUGCGGAACACGUGUGCAACCUGCCUUUAUCAGGGGGAUAGCCUUUCGAAAGGAAGAUUAAUACCCCAUAAUAUAUUGAUUGGCAUCAAUUAAUAUUGAAAACUCCGGUGGAUAGAGAUGGGCACGCGCAAGAUUAGAUAGUUGGUAGGGUAACGGCCUACCAAGUCAAUGAUCUUUAGGGGGCCUGAGAGGGUGAUCCCCCACACGGGUACUGAGACACGGACCAGACUCCUACGGGAGGCAGCAGUGAGGAAUAUUGGACAAUGGGUGAGAGCCUGAUCCAGCCAUCCCGCGUGAAGGACGACGGCCCUAUGGGUUGUAAACUUCUUUUGUAUAGGGAUAAACCUUUCCACGUGUGGAAAGUUGAAGGUACUAUACGAAUAAGCACCGGCUAACUCCGUGCAGCAGCCGCCGUAA
rnacentral:rRNA from 1 species